AUGUGGACCAGAAUGGAAUUCAGUGACUCCUAUCCACAAUGGCUGUGUUCUACCUCCAGUGGCAGAGUCAGCCCUUUUGUUUGGUGGUUCCCUAUCUAUGAACCAUGCUCCCCCAGGAAAGGUUAAACUACUUUCAUCUUUAGUUUAGGAACAUCACACAACCAGGCCUGCUGGGUAAAAAAGGAUGACUUUCCUCAUUCAUGUCUAUCGGAUACAUCUAAGCAACUGUUCAAGGACGGUUUAUUUCUGUGAAAAUGUGACCCUCGGAAUCAAUGAAGCCCAAACUGAUUUGUCUGAAAGGAAGAUGGUCCUCCAGAUGGUGAGGUUUGCCUUCCUUUACCUGUGCUCUUCUCUGCCUAACUUCCUUCUGUUGUAAACUGAUAUGCUCAGGGAAGCUGACCUACCCCUCAUUCCUUUGUCUUCGUCUUCGACUGUCCAAGCAGAGAGGCGACAUCUGUCUUUGUUCUCUCUCCUGAGCCAUGAGAGCAAUGCCCAAGUCUGGGCAUUGCGCCUCCAACUUAGUUAGUUAGUAAG